rnacentral:lncRNA from 1 species
GGCUCGGAGGUGCCCGCCACCUGGACUCCUCAAGGGAGCGCCCGCCAACGCUGUCCUGCCUUCACUUGUAGGCUGAGCCCAGCCCUUUCCCGGCCGACCCAGAAAGCUCCACCCUCGGCCCUGGGGCAGCGCCGCUCCCUAGCGGCUUGAGACUCAGCCUCUCCCCUCCCUUCUCUCCCGCCAGAACUUUGGAGACUGGCGGCUUCCGGAACAGCCUGUGCCCCUGUGCACGCCAAAGAUUGUGGACUGCUCACAGCAAGCGCACAUAAAAUGUGUGACGAGGCCGGGGCUAUAGGGAAAAGGUUCGAUCCUCAAGGCCUGCCCUGCAGGGAUCUGUUGAAUGAAUGGCUCUCUAGAGACAUUAGGGUGCUCAGAGCAUGAUGAACAGUGGGUGUCCUCCCGGGCCCAGUGAGUGCAGGCAGGGAGGGACUGGGAUGGGGGAAACCUACACCUUAGGCUGCUUGUCGGAAAGCCUUCAAUCCUGGAGUGGGACUUGGCAUCUGAGCCUUUACUGUCGCUAGGGGGCUGCUUUCCCCAGGACCCAACCUGCUAUGGACCCCCGCUGACCUUUGACUUCUAUGCGAAAGGUGACCAUUGGACCUGAGAAGCACUUCCCACUCUUAAACAUUUCUUAAGCCACCUCUUGAAGGAGUCAACCCCAGCCCUUUGCACUACAAAGCUUCUCAGCUUCAAAUCCCCAAGAAUCCCCAACUUUCUUGGUGAGGCAGCAACCUGGUAUAAGCCUCAGUGGACCCUGAAAUCAAGAAAUGGGUACUUAAGUUGAAUAAUUUCUCCAAGAUCACUCAGCACAUGACAGAGCAGGGUGCAAACCCAGGACCGCCUGUCAGGCUCUUAACUAUUUAAUUCUGCCACUUACUAGAACGUGGCUUUGGGCAAAUAAACUGCUUAAAUGCUACUCAAUGGCUUUUUCAUUGCCCUGUUGCCUUGUGGAAGAAAAAUGUACCUUCCUUGGUUUGACCUUGGAUUCGAACUAGCACCCAAUGGGACAGGCAGGAAGUGGCAGAGUUUGAGAACUUGGCCUGCAACAGAGGCUGGAGUGGAAAACGGACAACUUACAAGGGACAAGCAUGAGCAACUGACAGGCUGAGAAAGCUGUGCAAUUCC